rnacentral:rRNA from 1 species
AUUGAACGCUGGCGGAAUGCUUUACACAUGCAAGUCGAACGGUAGAGGGGGCAACCCCUUGAGAGUGGCGAACGGGUGAGUAAUAUAUCGGAACGUGCCCAGUCGUGGGGAUAACGUAGCGAAAGUUACGCUAAUACCGCAUACGAUCUAAGGAUGAAAGCGGGGGAUCGCAAGACCUCGCGCGAUUGGAGCGGCCGAUAUCAGAUUAGGUAGUUGGUGAGGUAAAGGCUCACCAAGCCAACGAUCUGUAGCUGGUCUGAGAGGACGACCAGCCACACUGGAACUGAGACACGGUCCAGACUCCUACGGGAGGCAGCAGUGGGGAAUUUUUGGACAAUGGACGCAAGUCUGAUCCAGCCAUUCCGCGUGCAGGAUGAAGGCCCUCGGGUUGUAAACUGCUUUUGUACGGAACGAAAAGGUUUGUCUUAAUACGAUGAGCUCAUGAGGUACCGUAAGAAUAAGCAACCGGCUAAC